AGUGAACGCUGGCGGUAGGCCUAACACAUGCAAGUCGAACGGCAGCACAGUAAGAUCUUGCUCUUACGGGUGGCGAGUGGCGGACGGGUGAGGAAUACAUCGGAAUCUACUUUUUCGUGGGGGAUAACGGAGGGAAACUUACGCUAAUACCGCAUACGACCUACGGGUGAAAGCAGUGGAUCUUCGGACCUUGCGCGAUUGAAUGAGCCGGUGUCGGAUUAGCUAGUUGGCGGGGUAAAGGCCCACCAAGGCAACGAUCCGUAGCUGGUCUGAGAGGAUGAUCGGCCACACUGGAACUGAGACACGGUCCAGACUCCUACGGGAGGCAGCAGUGGGGAAUAUUGGACAAUGGGCGCAAGCCUGAUCCAGCCAUACCGCGUGAGUGAAGAAGGCCUUCGGGUUGUAAAGCCCUUUUGUUGGGAAAGAAAAGCAGCAGGUUAAUACCCCGCUGUUCUGACGGUACCCAAAGAAUAAGCACCGGCUAACUUCGUG
rnacentral:rRNA from 1 species